rnacentral:rRNA from 1 species
CAACUUUCAACAACGGAUCUCUUGGCUCUCGCAUCGAUGAAGAACGCAGCGAAAUGCGAUAAGUAAUGUGAAUUGCAGAAUUCAGUGAAUCAUCGAAUCUUUGAACGCACCUUGCGCCCCUUGGUAUUCCGAGGGGCAUGCCUGUUUGAGUGUCUUG